rnacentral:rRNA from 1 species
CCCUUAGAUGUUCUGGGCUGCACGCGUGCUACACUGAUAUUGCCAAUAUGUCAUUCUUAUCCGAAAUGGAUUGGGUAAUCAAGUAAUGAAAUUUCAUGCUUGGAAUCGGUAAUUGCAAUUUUAUCGUGAACGAGGAAUUCCUAGUAAGCACUAGUCAUCAGCUAAUGUUGAUUAUGUCCCUGCCCUUUGUACACACCGCCCGUCGCUACUACUGAUCGGGUGUUCAAGUGAGAUGCUUAGACCCUUGUUGCAUGGUUCAUUAUUGUGCUCCGAAAGGAAAAAGUUUCAAGCUUGAGUGUCUAGAGGAAGUAAAAGUCGUAACA